UUGAACGCUGGCGGCGUGCUUAACACAUGCAAGUCGUGCGGUAACAGGCGUAGCAAUACGUGCUGACGAGCGGCGAACGGGUGCGUAAUACAUGGGAAUCUGCCUUUUGGUGGGAAUAACCGGCGAAGCCGGGCUAAUGCCGCAUAAGAUCUUCGGAUGAAAGCGGGGGAGUCGUAAGACCUCGCGCUGAUAGAUGAGCCCACUGCCGGAUUAGCUAGUGGUGAGGUAACGGACUCACCAAGGCGACGAUCCGUAGCUGUNUGAGAGGACGGCCAGCCACACUGGGACGUGAGACACGGCCCA
rnacentral:rRNA from 1 species